AACGAACGCUGGCGGCAUGCCUAACACAUGCAAGUCGAACGGGAUCCGGACUUCGGUCCGGUGAGAGUGGCGGACGGGUGAGUAACACGUGGGAACCUGCCUUUUGGUUCGGGAUAACCGCGGGAAACUGCGGCUAAUACCGGAUGCUCCCGAGAGGGAAAAGAUUUAUCGCCAGAAGAGGGGCCCGCGUCCGAUUAGGUAGUUGGUGGGGUAAUGGCCUACCAAGCCGACGAUCGGUAGCUGGUCUGAGAGGAUGAUCAGCCACACUGGGACUGAGAUACGGCCCAGACUCCUACGGGAGGCAGCAGUGGGGAAUAUUGGACAAUGGGGGCAACCCUGAUCCAGCAAUGCCGCGUGAGUGAUGAAGGCCUUAGGGUUGUAAAGCUCUUUUGUCAGGGAAGAAACGCUCUGGGAUAAUACCCUGGGGUAAUGACGGUACCUGAAGAAUAAGCACCGGCUAACUACGUGCCAGCAGCCGCGGUAAU
rnacentral:rRNA from 1 species